rnacentral:rRNA from 1 species
CCUACGGGAGGCAGCAGUGAGGAAUAUUGGUCAAUGGACGAGAGUCUGAACCAGCCAAGUAGCGUGAAGGAUGACUGCCCUAUGGGUUGUAAACUUCUUUUAUAUGGGAAUAAAACGUUCCACGUGUGGGAUUUUGUAUGUACCAUAUGAAUAAGGAUCGGCUAACUCCGUGCCAGCAGCCGCGGUAAUACGGAGGAUCCGAGCGUUAUCCGGAUUUAUUGGGUUUAACGGGAGCGUAGGUGGAUUGUUAAGUCAGUUGUGAAAGUUUGCGGCUCAACCGUAAAAUUGCAGUUGAAACUGGCAGUCUUGAGUACAGUAGAGGUGGGCGGAAUUCGUGGUGUAGCGGUGAAAUGCUUAGAGAUCACGAAGAACUCCGAUUGCGAAGGCAGUUCACUGGACUGCAACUGACACUGAGGCUCGAAAGUGUGGGUAUCAAACAGGAUUAGAUACCCGAGUAGUC